GACGAACCGUGCGAACGUUGUUCGGAAUCACUGGGCUUAAAGGGCGCGUAGGCGGGCACGCAAGUCAGGGGUGAAAGCCCACGGCUCAACCGUGGAAGGGCCUUUGAUACUGCGUGUCUGGAGGGAGGUAGGGGCGUGCGGAACUUCCGGUGGAGCGGUGAAAUGCGCAGAUAUCGGGAGGAACACCAAUGGCGAAGGCAGCUCGCUGGGACGUUACUGACGCUGAGACGCGAAAGCGUGGGGAGCAAACAGGG
rnacentral:rRNA from 1 species